rnacentral:rRNA from 1 species
GGUUACUGCUAUCGAGGUUCGACUAAGCCAUGCGAGUCGAAUGUAGCAAUACAUGGCGAACUGCUCAGUAACACGUGGACAACCUGCCCUUAGGUUGGGUAUAAACCCGGGAAACUGGGUAUAAUACCCGAUAGGUCUCGAUUGCUGGAAUGCAUCGAGAUUUAAAGCUCCGGCGCCUAAGGAUGGGUCUGCGGCCUAUCAGGUAGUAGUGGGUGUAGCGUACCUACUAGCCUACGACGGGUACGGGUUGUGAGAGCAAGAGCCCGGAGAUGGAUUCUGAGACACGAAUCCAGGCCCUACGGGGUGCAGCAGGCGCGAAAACUUUACAAUGCUGGCAACAGCGAUAAGGGAACCUCGAGUGCCAGGUUACAAAUCUGGCUGUCGAGAUGCCCAAAAAGCAUUUCAUAGCAAGGGCCGGGCAAGACCGGUGCCAGCCGCCGCGGUAACACCGGCGGCUCGAGUGGUAACCGUUAUUAUUGGGUCUAAAGGGUCUGUAGCCGGCCGGAUAAGUCUCUUGAGAAAUCUGGCAGCUUAACUGUCAGGCUUUCAGGAGAUACUGUCUGGCUCGAGGCCGGGAGAGGUGAGAGGUACUUCAGGGGUAGGGGUGAGAUCUUGUAAUCCUUGAAGGACCACCAGUGGCGAAGGCGUCUCACCAGAACGGACCUGACGGCAAGGGACGAAAGCUAG